rnacentral:rRNA from 1 species
CCUACGGGUGGCAGCAGUGGGGAAUAUUGCACAAUGGGCGAAAGCCUGAUGCAGCAACGCCGCGUGAAGGAAGACGGUUUUCGGAUUGUAAACUUCUGUUCUCAGUGAAGAAUAAUGACGGUAACUAAGGAGCAAGCCACGGCUAAAUACGCGCCAGCAGCCGCGGUAAUACGUAGGCGGCAAGCGUUGUCCGGAAUUACUGGGUGUAAAGGGAGCGUAGGCGGGAAGCCAAGUCAGCUGUGAAAACUACGGGCUUAACGUGUAGACUGCAGUUGAAACUGGCUUUCUUGAGUGAAGUAGAGGUUGGCGGAAUUCCGAGUGUAGCGGUGAAAUGCGUAGAUAUUCGGAGGAACACCAGUGGCGAAGGCGACCAACUGGGCUUUAACUGACGCUGAGGCUCGAAAGUGUGGGUAGCAAACAGGAUUAGAUACCCGAGUAGUC